GGGGUUGUAGCUCGGUGGUAGGAGCACUUGCCUCUCACGCUUGAGGCCCUGGGUUCAAUCCUCAGCACCA
rnacentral:tRNA from 1 species